GCGAAGGUGGCGGAAUUGGUAGACGCGCUAGCUUCAUGUCCUUAGGAUGUGGGGGUUCGAGUCCCCCCCCUCGCACCA
rnacentral:tRNA from 1 species